GCCGGGCGUGGUGGCGCGCGCCUGUAGUCCCAGCUACUUGGGAGGCUGAGGCAGGAGAAUCGCUUGAAUCCGGGAGGCGGAGGUUGCAGUGAGCCAAGUUGGUGCCACUGCACUCCAGCCUGGGUGACAGAGCGGGACUCUGUCUCAA
ensembl:misc_RNA Metazoa_SRP Metazoan signal recognition particle RNA